AAAAAAAUAUUAAGUUGAUUAAUUUUGUGAUUUCCUUAGGAUUUGAAAUAGCCUAAUAUAUAAUAGGACUAAAUUUCUUAAACCAAUUAUAGCAUCUUGGGCGAUGAUUAAGCCCAAAAAAUUAAAAAGGCUAAGAGUAUUAAGACUAGAGUAAUUCUAGAUUGUGUAGCCUUUCUUGAAAAACGGAGGGUCACAAUUGGUAUCAGAAUAAAUCACCAGCCUCAAGUGUGAGAUGAGUCUCAGUUGAGUCAGUAUUUGAAUCAUAGGCUAAGUCAAAAUUUGAAAAUGAUAAGUUAAGUCGGGUCUAAAUAA
rnacentral:lncRNA from 1 species